AUUGAACGCUGGCGGCAUGCUUUACACAUGCAAGUCGAACGGCAGCGCGGGGCAACCUGGCGGCGAGUGGCGCACGGGUGAGUAAUAUAUCGGAACGUACCCAGAAGUGGGGGAUAACGUAGCGAAAGUUACGCUCAUACCGCAUACGAUCUACGGAUGAAAGUAGGGGACCGCAAGGCCUUAUGCUUUUGGAGCGGCCGAUAUCUGAUUAGCUAGUUGGUGAGGUAAAGGCUCACCAAGGCGACGAUCAGUAGCUGGUCUGAGAGGACGACCAGCCACACUGGAACUGAGACACGGUCCAGACUCCUACGGGAGGCAGCAGUGGGGAAUUUUGGACAAUGGGCGCAAGCCUGAUCCAGCAAUGCCGCGUGAGUGAAGAAGGCCUUCGGGUUGUAAAGCUCUUUUGUCAGGGAAGAAACGGUAGAGGCUAAUAUCCUUUGCUAAUGACGGUACCUGAAGAAUAAGCACCGGCUAACUACGUG
rnacentral:rRNA from 1 species